CCCCAGGCCGCCUCCGUGCACUGAGACGAGACACUUUCCCACCCACCAUCUCGCUUGAUCCUCCCCGCGGCCUCUGGGGCGGGAGUGACGCCCCGUCUUCCGGAGGCGGAGACUGAGGCUCAGCGGGAAACGUGAAACACAGCACCUGGGUGGCAUUAGCAGAGUGCACUCACCUGCAACCACCGCGCUGGAGCUGGGGCCUCAGGCCCAGGUGAGAAGAGGAAGUCCCACCAAGGCCAUCCAGGGCUGAUGUGGCUCAAUGAUGCUGUUGUGGACACUGCAGUUGUCAAAAGUAUGCCUCCUGUUAUUCACUCUGAAACCAUCUCUUUCAAGUUUCUGUCCCCCAUGCCAUGUUUCAGCAUUCUGGGACUGAGAACAGCCUGCAUAGACUCUGCCCCACCCCAGCCUGGUGAUAUCAAGGUGGCAGAGAACCUCAGGUAGAGAUGUGUCUGUGCUCAUCCAGCCACAGUCUUCCAGGUUCCACUUGGGGGCUGGGACCAGACAGCCCAGUGCAUGGCCUGCUUGUGGGAGGCUGUUCAUGAGGAAGUGACCUGCCUAAGGACCACUAAAGAAUGAAUGAAUAAAAAUAAAAAUAAUGAAGCUGUGAGGGAAAAAAAAGAAUGACUGAAUGGAUGGAGGCAGGAUUAGAACCUGGCUCUCAGCUCUUGUCCCUACCCGAGUGACAAAUUGUCAAGUCUAAACAUCUAGCAUGGCAUACGAGGCCCUAGAUAACCUGGCCCCCCGACCUCCUUGACCUCAUUUCUCACCACUGAAUUGUGGCUGGUUUUACUCUGUGCCUUUGCUUAUGCUGUUCCUUCUUCCUGGAAUGCCUUUCCGUGCUGCCCCCAGCCCUUUGAUCUAACUUUUACUCACCUGUUUAGAAUCAGCCCCAGCACCACCUCCUUCUGGGAGCCUCCCUGACCUCCUGGCUGGUCUAGGGGUUCCUCUUCUGACAACCAUGGUGCUUACUGAAUUUACCACACUUAGUUAUACUUUUCUGUUCACAUGCUCUCCCCUCCCCCCAGCCUGUGAGCCCCUCGAGGGAGGACUACAUCUGAUUCGCCUCAGCAUCUGCGCUGUCCCCAGUGGUGGCACAUUAGAGCAGGAAGUCAUAGGCCCCGGCUGUACCCUGCUCCUGCUCUGAAGAGUGCCUUGACCAAGUCAUACCCUACUUCCCCCUCCAAACUGUGGGAGAGUUGGGCUUCAUCAGAUCACUUCUGAGGACCUAGUCACCCACAAGAGGGGCAGGGCCGGCAUGGGACAGCCUAAGCUGGGUGCUGGAGAUGGGUCAGAACCUUCUCUGUGGCCACCUAUGUUAGGAAAUGGGGUGGGUGUGGAGCACAGGAGGUGGGGGGCUGCAUUCUGGGCCUCAGCAGACCAGACCCGGCCAAAGAGGCCGGCCUGGCAUCCCCACAGCAGGGAUGGUGGCCCCCAGCAGUUAUCAAAGGCCAGCAGAGACCCCUUGCUAAGAUGAUGACUGGGACGGGGAAGGGGAAUCUCCCUGGGGCUGCAAACACUCUGCCACUGCCACUGACAAGCUGGGCCAUCCGUCAGCCCUGAGCACAAUGGGGUCAUUAACCCCUGACCCCGGCCCCUUUUCAGCCACUUCCUUUGGAGGGCUCCCCCACCCCCAAAAGGAGAAGGGAGGGGAAGAUUUCUGUUAAGCGUCCCUCUUCAAUGAGGGACCCAGAAGCGAUGUCACAGCUCUGUGGGCUGGACCAAGGCUCGAGGUCCAGGUUCCUGGUUCUCUAGCUCCCACCCGCUGCCUCCCGCAGGAGCACCCCUCAAGCCAAAGCGGUGUGUAUGGGGGAGGGACAGAGUCCCUGAGAGAGGGACAGAGACAGAGGCGUUGUGAGAGUCACUUUAGGUCAGAGAUGGCUCUUAUCCAUUUACACAGUGUAUUCAAAGGGACAUCAUAGACCAGUCCCAUUUGUGUAAUUCGAAGCAAGAACCCCAAGUAAAAUAUUAACAAAACAAAUCCAGCAAUGAAUAAAAAGGAUGUAGACAUCAGGAUAGAAUUGGAUUUAUCCUAGAAAUGUGUGUUUAUGUUAAAAAAUCUAUUAAUGCCAUUCAUCACGGUAAUAAAACUAAGGGACGAAAGUCCUAAGAUCACCUUGGCACUGGCAAUAAAUUUCAAUGUCUACUUAUGAUAAAACUGUUUUAGCAAACUUGGGAUAGAAACUUCCUUAAAUAAUAAUGAAGAUGAUCUACAAAAACAGCACAGACCUAGUUCCCAAAAGGGCAACAGACACACAUUCCUUAACAUCGGAGAAGACGGGUAGGUCCUUGUCCAGGCGUCUCUCCAACAUUGUACCUGGGGUCCUAGCUGGGGCAGUAAGACAUGAAAAAAACAAGGCAUAAGGAUUGGAGAGGAAGAAGCACACUGCUAUUAUUUGCAGAUGAUAGGACUGUCUACGUAGAAAACCCAGAACAUCUACAGAGAAAUUAUUGGAAUUCUGAAAAAUUUAGCAGAGAAUAUUCCCGUAUCAAAUCAAUGCCAAAAAUAAUGGCAGCUGCAACAUGUGAGUAAACCUUGAAAAUAUUAUGCUAAGUGAAAGAAGUCGGUCACAAAAGGACACGUAGUGCGAAAUCCCAUUUAUAGGAAAUGUCUAGAAGAGGCGAAUCCGUAGAGACAGAAAGCAGAUUAAUGGUUGCCAGGGGCUGAGAAGAAGCAGGGAAUGCGAGGUGACUGCUAAGGGGCAAAGGCGUCCUUUCCGUCCUUGCGGUGUGAUGAAAAUGUGCUGGGAUUAGAUUGUGCUGAUGGUUGCACAUAAAAUCUUGUGAAUACACUAAAAACCACUGAAUUGCACACUUUAAAAUAAUGAACUUUAGGGUGCCAACUUUGGAAGAGGUGUAGUGCAUCUCCUAAUAAGAAAGUAAAAAAAAAAAAAGAGACAAAAUCUUAAAAAAAGAUGA